CUGGGCUGGGAAGCUGGGGAGGCAGGAAGCCUCCCUUCCCCUUUUCUGUUACAGCUCCCCUCCCUCCGGCCUCUCUGCCUCCCGCCAGCUGGGGUGGAGCAGUGUCCAGCACAAAGGCGGGAGGUAUAAUGGGGACAUUUCAGACACUGCCACUGGUAAGACUGGAAAACUUGUCGAGACAGAGGGCUUCUUGGAGUCCCUUACAUCACCCUACCCUGGUCUCAAGGAAGAGGGAAAGCCUUUGACACACUGGGCUGUUUUGACUCCUACCUCCACUCCACCACUGCCUGCCUGAACAGCGUGGGGACAUGAGGACAUCCUCUGGGCACUGAGGAAGGAAAACUGAAAGACACUGGGGACCAACAGAGAACACCAAAGCCUGUGAAGAGGAAGCACCGGCUGCUGCUAUGACCCGCUGACAUAUCCUUUGGACAGGCCUGCUUCAGCAUCUCCAGGCCAAUGCAGCUGCUUACUCGAAUGCUUCCGCCACACUUCCUGUGUCCAGCAUGUGAGGACACUAUUGAGACAGAGGCUGCCAGCACCAGUAGACAGAUGCUCUGGCCACGGCUGCUCAGAUAUGAUUGGUGUCAGCAGCAGAAGGAAGGAGGCCUUGCUGACGCAGCAGCCCGAUCCUGAGAGCGGUGGCCAUCAUACUGUCCAGUGUAAUGACACCAUGCCUUCCUUCUACUCCCUUCUUGGAAAGCCUGGGCUAUCUGGGUUCCAGGAGGGGUCAGGGUAUAUUUAAACAGGGUGGCUUUGGAGUUUGGGAAAGCCCCCCCCACCACUGGCACAGGUGAAGAGCAGGAGAAGAGGAGACUCUGAGGGCAGCUUAGCACUGUGUAAUGAAGUUUGAGCUGUGACAGGAGCCAGUCACUUCUGGGAAUUAACAUCAAGGAAAUAAUAGUGAAUUCAUACAAGAUGCAAUGUGACAGCUGCCUCACGCUCCUGCUGCCGAGUCUCCUCCGCCACGAUGGGCUGUGUGUUCAAACUACCAGUUACGUUGGGACAGCAACGAGAGAAGAACCCAGCACACUCCCUGCCCACCCUCUCUCAUCUAUGAGGUCCUCCACAUAAGUCUCCCUCACCCCCAGUUCUUCAUGUGCACAGUUAAGGCUGGAAGGAGCCUGGCACCACCCUGUUGCACAGAGACCAGGAAGCCUCAAAAUCAUGCUGGGAAUGGUUUGACUGAGCUGUGGACUCUUGGUUCUGGGUCCUGCACAGGUUGUUGACAAUUCUCUUUUAGAGUUUCACAUGUGUUCAAUACUCGGGCAGAGAGCUACCUCCCCACCCUAAAUCAUUUCCUAAAGACUGAAGAUGAGGGCAGUUCCAGGCUUGCCCUUCUGAAUUUAGCAGUGAUGAGAUUAGAACACGAAGACCUUCCUUUGAAUGAAGGCUGAGCUGGCCCUGUCUAGCCCUGCAUUGCUGUGUCUUCCUCCUUGAUCAUCUGGAAGAAUCCAGUGGCAGCUUUGACCAUGAGAUGUGGCAGAGGCGGUGAUAAGUGUUGAAAACAAGGUUAAAGGGUAGAAAAAAGAAGAACUCACAAAGUAGCAAAGAUGAACUACACAUCUGGAGAGAUGGCCAAAGAUGAACUACACAUCUGGAGAGAUGGCUCAUUGGUGAAAACCAUUCCCUCCUCACGGUGGACCAGAGCCAGACCAAGGCUGAGCGGGGCCUGUCUCUCCCAUGUCAACAGUCCGCAGUCCUGGGUGGAGACCCUGAAAAAUGAGCAAUCAGCUGGAGGGAACUAAGAAAGCAGAGAAAAGUGAAUCUUGAAGCCAGUGAAUCUUGAGCCACCAAGCAAAAGUAUUUGCUACACGGCCUGACAACCAGAGUUUGAUCCCUGCAAUCCAAGAGAGAAAGCCAGAUAUGGUCACAUACAUCUAUAAACCCAAUGUUCUUCUAUGGAGGUGAGAGCAGAGCAGGACAAUGUUCUUCUAUGGAGGUGAGAGCAGAGCAGGAGAAUCACCCAGAGGCUUUACCCAGAAGCUUUCAGCCACAGCUAUCUUGGAGUCCUUGGCAGAAACAAUAGAGCCCCAUCUCAAAAAGAAGAAGAAGAAAACCCACUCCUGAAAGUUGUCCUGCAAUCUCCACAGGCUCACCGUGACAUGUGUGUCACCAUACUCACACAUAUACAUCACACACCAUGACCUCUGGCUUCUGCAUGACUGAGUACACAAAUGUACCCAAAUACACACACACACACGCUCACAUGCACACACACACAAUUGUUCUGCUACCAUUACCCUGGCCUGGGGCCUCCUCUAGAGAUAUGUGUCUGCCAAAUCUAGGUGAAGGGUGGCAGCACCCAGUAGGUCCUGGAAGCACCCAGUAGGUCCUGGCACACAGAGACACUCUAUAAGGUGACAUCCACGUAUAAGUCACAGAAUCACGGACCUAAGGGUAACCUAGCUAGGUACUAGACUAAAUCCUAGAGGUUAAGAAGGGGUUCCUCCUUCAUGGAUCUUACAGCACAGUGGAGACAAGGCGGAAGCAGGAAGAGUGGAGGAGUAUCUUAGUCAGGGUUUCUAUUCCUGCACAAACAUCACGACCAA